GACGAACGCUGGCGGCGUGCCUAAUACAUGCAAGUCGAGCGAAGUUUUUCUGGUGCUUGCACCGGAAAAACUUAGCGGCGAACGGGUGAGAAACACGUAAAGAACCUGCCUCAUAGACUGGGACAACUAUUGGAAACGAUAGCUAAUACCGGAUAACAGCAUUAACUGCAUGGUUGAUGUUUAAAAGUUGGUUUUGCUAACACUAUGAGAUGGCUUUGCGGUGCAUUAGCUAGUUGGUGGGGUAAAGGCCUACCAAGGCGACGAUGCAUAGCCGACCUGAGAGGGUGAUCGGCCACACUGGGACUGAGACACGGCCCAGACUCCUACGGGAGGCAGCAGUAGGGAAUCUUCCGCAAUGGGCGAAAGCCUGACGGAGCAACGCCGCGUGAGUGAAGAAGGAUUUCGGUUCGUAAAGCUCUGUUGUUAGGGAAGAAUGAUUGUGUAGUAACUAUACACAGUAGAGACGGUACCUAACCAGAAAGCCACGGCUAACUACGUG
rnacentral:rRNA from 1 species